AGUGCAUGUGGUGGAUGCCUUGGCAGUCAGAGGCGAUGAAAGACGUGAUAGCCUGCGAAAAGCUCCGGGGAGGCGGCAAAUAUCCUUUGAUCCGGAGAUGUCUGAAUGGGGGAACCCACCUACUUUAAGGUAGGUAUUGCAACAUGAAUACAUAGUGUUGCAAGGCGAACGAGGGGAAGUGAAACAUCUCAGUACCCUUAGGAAAAGAAAUCAAUUGAGAUUCCCUCAGUAGCGGCGAGCGAACGGGGAUCAGCCCAUUAAGUUAUGUGUGUUUUAGUGGAACGCUCUGGGAAGUGCGAACGUAGAGGGUGAUAUUCCCGUACACGAAAGGGCACACAUAAUGAUGACGAGUAGGGCGAGGCACGUGAAACCUUGUCUGAAUAUGGGGGGACCAUCCUCCAAGGCUAAAUACUCCUGACUGACCGAUAGUGAACCAGUACCGUGAGGGAAAGGCGAAAAGAACCCCUGUGAGGGGAGUGAAAUAGAUCCUGAAACCGCAUGCAUACAAGCAGUGGGAGCACCUUCGUGGUGUGACUGCGUACCUUUUGUAUAAUGGGUCAGCGACUUAUAUUCAGUAGCGAGGUUAACCGUAUAGGGGAGCCGUAGAGAAAUCGAGUCUUAAUAGGGCGUUUAGUUGCUGGGUAUAGACCCGAAACCAGGCGAUCUAUCCAUGAGCAGGUUGAAGGUUGGGUAACACUAACUGGAGGACCGAACCCACUGUCGUUGAAAAGCCAGGGGAUGACUUGUGGAUAGGGGUGAAAGGCUAAUCAAGCCUGGUGAUAGCUGGUUCUCCCCGAAAGCUAUUUAGGUAGCGCCUCGGACGAAUACCAUAGGGGGUAGAGCACUGUUUCGGCUAGGGGGUCAUCCCGACUUACCAAACCGAUGCAAACUCCGAAUACCUAUGAGUACUAUCCGGGAGACAGACUGCGGGUGCUAACGUCCGUAGUCAAGAGGAAAACAAUCCAGACCGCCAGCUAAGGCCCCAAAAUCAUAGUUAAGUGGGAAACGAUGUGGGAAGGCAUAGACAGCUAGGAGGUUGGCUUAGAAGCAGCCACCCUUUAAAGAAAGCGUAAUAGCUCACUAGUCNNNNNNNNNNGAGUCGGCCUGCGCGGAAGAUGUAACGGGGCUAAAACUAUGUGCCGAAGCUGCGGAUGUAUACUUUGUAUACGUGGUAGGGGAGCGUUCUGUAAGCCGAUGAAGGUGUGUUGAGAAGCAUGCUGGAGGUAUCAGAAGUGCGAAUGCUGACGUGAGUAACGACAAAACGGGUGAAAAACCCGUUCGCCGAAAGACCAAGGGUUCCAGUCCAACGUUAAUCGGGGCUGGGUGAGUCGACCCCUAAGGCGAGGCCGAAAGGCGUAGUCGAUGGGAAAAUGGUUAAUAUUCCAUUACUUCUGUGUAAUGCGAUGAGAGGACGGAGAAGGCUAAAUCAGCCUGGCGUUGGUUGUCCAGGUGAAAGGAUGUAGGCAUGUAUCUUAGGCAAAUCCGGGGUACUCUAUGCUGAGAUCUGAUAGCAAGCUGUACUUGUACAGCGAAGUGGUUGAUGCCAUGCUUCCAGGAAAAGUCUCUAAGCUUCAGUUACACAGGAAUCGUACCCGAAACCGACACAGGUGGUCAGGUCGAGUAGACCAAGGCGCUUGAGAGAACUCUGCUGAAGGAACUAGGCAAAAUGGUACCGUAACUUCGGGAGAAGGUACGCUGUUGUUGGUGAUGGAACUCGCUUCCUGAGCUGACGACAGCCGCAGAAACCAGGCCGCUGCAACUGUUUAUUAAAAACAUAGCACUCUGCAAACACGAAAGUGGACGUAUAGGGUGUGAUGCCUGCCCGGUGCUGGAAGGUUAAUUGAUGGGGUUAGCGUAAGCGAAGCUCUUGAUCGAAGCCCCAGUAAACGGCGGCCGUAACUAUAACGGUCCUAAGGUAGCGAAAUUCCUUGUCGGGUAAGUUCCGACCUGCACGAAUGGCAUAAUGAUGGCGGCGCUGUCUCCAGCAGAGGCUCAGUGAAAUCGAAAUCGCUGUGAAGAUGCAGUGUACCCGCGGCUAGACGGAAAGACCCCGUGAACCUUUACUGCAGCUUGACACUGAACUUUGACCUUACUUGUGUAGGAUAGGUGGGAGGCUUUGAAGCUGGAACGCUAGUUCCAGUGGAGCCGUCCUUGAAAUACCACCCUGGUAAUGUUGAGGUUCUAACUCUGUCCCGUGAUCCGGGACGAGGACCGUGUCUGGUGGGUAGUUUGACUGGGGCGGUCUCCUCCUAAAGAGUAACGGAGGAGUACGAAGGUGCGCUCAGCGUGGUCGGAAAUCACGCGUAGAGUAUAAAGGCAAAAGCGCGCUUAACUGCGAGACCCACAAGUCGAGCAGGUACGAAAGUAGGUCUUAGUGAUCCGGUGGUUCUGUAUGGAAGGGCCAUCGCUCAACGGAUAAAAGGUACUCUGGGGAUAACAGGCUGAUACCGCCCAAGAGUUCAUAUCGACGGCGGUGUUUGGCACCUCGAUGUCGGCUCAUCUCAUCCUGGGGCUGAAGCAGGUCCCAAGGGUAUGGCUGUUCGCCAUUUAAAGAGGUACGCGAGCUGGGUUUAGAACGUCGUGAGACAGUUCGGUCCCUAUCUACCGUGGGCGCUGGAAAUUUGAGAGGAUCUGCUCCUAGUACGAGAGGACCAGAGUGGACGAACCUCUGGUGUACCGGUUGUGACGCCAGUCGCAUCGCCGGGUAGCUAUGUUCGGAAGGGAUAACCGCUGAAAGCAUCUAAGCGGGAAGCCUACCUCAAGAUAAGAUUUCCCUAGGACUUUAUGUCCUCUAAAGAGCCGUUCGAGACUAGGACGUUGAUAGGUUGGAUGUGGAAGCAUAGUGAUAUGUGAAGCUGACCAAUACUAAUUGCUCGUGAGGCUUGACU
rnacentral:rRNA from 1 species